AUGGAGCUCUUAUCAGUUCCUUUACAUUUGCUGCUUAUGUUGCCAAGUCAUAUACAUGCUGCCAAUUUUCCCUUUUACAUUAGAUCAAUUUUCUGUAUUAGUAAUAGCACCUUUGUACACGGUAUAUCCUACUGUCCUCCAUUCUUGCUUUCAAAAUUGGAUAUUCCUAGGACACUUGAAUAUCUGCAUCAAGCGGCUUCACAUUUUAAAUUUGGCAUGUGCAAUUGGAAUGUUCCAUGUCGAGUGGAUAUCCCUGAAGAAUGCGCUUCCUUAAUAGAAGAAAACAUCAAACUAAAGCUUGGAUUUGGAACUUUGAUAAGAGUUCCUAUUCCUCAAUAG